UACAGAGAUGUGGGAGCCUGUGAUCUUGUUUCACUCGUUACCAUGACAACCUCCCCGUCCCGCGGCGCACCGUGACGUCACAGCCCGGCGACGCGGAAGCGAGCAGCGUGUGCAGGCGGGCGGCAGCGCCGUGAGGACAGGCUCUACAGAGAUGUGGGAGCCUGCGAUCUUGUUUCACUCGUUACCAUGACAACCUCCCCGUCCCGCGGCGCACCGUGACGUCACAGCCCGGCGACGCGGAAGCGAGCAGCGUGUGCAGGCGGGCGGCAGCGCCGUGAGGACAGGCUCUACAGAGAUGUGGGAGCCUGCGAUCUUGUUUCACUCGUUACCAUGACAACCUCCCCGUCCCGCGGCGCACCGUGACGUCACAGCCCGGCGACGCGGAAGCGAGCAGCGUGUGCAGGCGGGCGGCAGCGCCGUGAGGACAGGCUCUACAGAGAUGUGGGAGCCUGCGAUCUUGUUUCACUCGUUACCAUGACAACCUCCCCGUCCCGCGGCGCACCGUGACGUCACAGCCCGGCGACGCGGAAGCGAGCAGCGUGUGCAGGCGGGCGGCAGCGCCGUGAGGACAGGUUCUACAGAGAUGUGGGAGCCUGCGAUCUUGUUUCACUCGUUACCAUGACAACCUCCCCGUCCCGCGGCGCACCGUGACGUCACAGCCCGGCGACGCGGAAGCGAGCAGCGUGUGCAGGCGGGCGGCAGCGCCGUGAGGACAGGGGACAUGAGAUCUGAAGGGGAGAACUUAAUAGUUUUUUUUUACAUGUCGGUUGUCCAGAAUUUGUGUCCUGGUUACAGUCUCAAUCAGGCAGUGACCCACUGUCCACAGAAAGACUACUAUGGGAUAUGACCGCCAGGUGUGUGGGGAGUACCCGCAGAUCCAUACACCUGCUCUCCAACUGAGAGGAAAAGUAUUUGGAAAACUGGUUAGCAAUCUCUUCUGACAAUGUACAUGGGUACAGUAAUACAGUUUACUGGCAUUUCCACUGAUUUAAACACUGUCAGAAAGGUUGAUCUUAGGCCACUAUUGGUGUAAUGGUUAGCAUUACUGCCUCACAGCACUGAGGUCAUGGGUUUGAUUCCCACCAGGCCCUUUCUGGUUUCCUCCUACAAUCCCAAAAAAUACUGGCAGGUUAAUUGGCUCCCAACAAAAUUAACCCUAGCGAGAAUGUGUCGUUGUGUACAUGUGAUAGGGAAUAUAGAUUGUAAGCUCCACUGAGGCAGGGAUUAAUGUGAAUGGCCAAAUAUUCUCUGUAAAGCGCUGCGGAAUAUGUGUGCGCUAUAUACAUAACUGGUAAUAAAUAAAAUAAAUUAUAAAAAGGAAAUGAGUAAGGAAAUAUUAAUCCAAUGUCUAUACUAGUGGUUCCCAAACUUUUUUGAGUAACUGCGCCCUAGAGUAUCAGAAUUUUUCUCACGGCACCCCUAGGCCACAAGUUUCCUAUUGAAAAAUUCAGAAAAAAAUAUAUUGAAUUAAGUAAAUUGUGUUUUUAUAUCAUCCUUAAGGGGGUACACACGGAUCCAAAAAGGGGGCGUGGCCUCGAUCGUGAUGGGCGUGGCCACACUCGAGUGGGCGUGACCUCCCCAAAUGGUCCGGUUUUUUCAUUUUGGGGGCGUGCCCAACGCUCUCCCAGCAGCUGGGCAGCCUCCGCUCCCCUCCUAGCUCUGAAUACAUGCCGUGCGCGUGCGCACAGCAUGUAUUCAGUGAUCACCGGCUGCUUUGCAGAGCAGAGCAGCGGGUGAUCAAAGCCUCCCCUAACUGCCCCCCCCACCCGCGGGACACUGCUGCCCGCGGGUGGGACAGCGGGACAGGGUCCAAAUAGCGUGACUGUCCCGCUGAAAGCGGGACAGUUGGGAGGUAUGCAUCUCUUGGUGUGUACCCCCCUUUAGGGUCAGUUAUGUGGUGAGGGACAGGAUUCACUUUGUCCACAAACUUUAUGAUUGGAAGUCACAAGCACUGGUUUUGUCUAUUACAUUGACCGUAAAUAAUUUGAAUUGGUCCUAGAACACCAAUCAAAGGCACCCCUGCAAGUACUCCGAGGCAGGGACGUGAGGUGAACUAAAUAGCUCAGGAGGCACUGGCUAGCACCAGAGCCAGGUUUACAUGCAAUAUAUGAGCCAAAUCGUAAAUCUGGUCAUGAUACACAGGUGCAGCAGUAUGAACUCCUGGAAAUCUGGUGAGUUUUGAUCAGAGAUGUGUGGAAAGGAUACACAGGUGAGGCACUGCCUCACCUGCCAUAGACUUUUUACUCUAGAGGUUUGGCUAUAAAAAUUAUUAGAAUAAUGCAAAGAAGAUAUUUCAAACAUAUUCUUUGUAUUUUUCAUAUUCUUUACGCAAUCAAAACUCUGGUACAAAUAUUAGUAUGACAGGAAAGGGUCUGCCUCACCCCACCGCACGUCACUGCUCCGAAGCACCCCAGGGUGCCUAGGCACACAGUUUGAGAACCACUGGUCUAUACAUAUGAUAUGGGAGUGGCGGAUUGUACCAUGUGAAAGGGGACAGCCUUGAAACCAUUAACUAAUAUUGAGGCUGAUCGGUUAAAAUAAAGGUAUGCUUCAUCUCUCUAAAAGGGCUGCUUAUACAUUUUAUACUCUUUUAUGUUUUGGACGGUAUCUAUAAUAACACGCA